rnacentral:rRNA from 1 species
UCCUACGGGGCGCAGCAGUGAGGAAUAUUGGUCAAUGGACGGGAGUCUGAACCAGCCAUGCCGCGUGCAGGAAGACGGCUCUAUGAGUUGUAAACUGCUUUUGUACAAGGGUAAACCUGAAUACGUGUAUUCAGCUGAAAGUACUGUACGAAUAAGGAUCGGCUAACUCCGUGCCAGCAGCCGCGGGAAUACGGAGGAUCCAAGCGUUAUCCGGCUUUAUUGGGUUUAAAGGGUGCGUAGGCGGGUUGAUAAGUUCGAGGUGAAGUGUCGGAGCUUAACUCG